CAGUAGCCGCGGUAAUACGGAGGGUGCAAGCGUUAAUCGGAAUUACUGGGCGUAAAGCGCACGCAGGCGGUCUGACAAGUCAGAUGUGAAAUCCCCGGGCUUAACCUGGGAACUGCAUUUGAAACUGUCAGGCUGGAGUCUUGUAGAGGGGGGUGGAAUUCCAGGUGUAGCGGUGAAAUGCGUAGAGAUCUGGAGGAAUACCGGUGGCGAAGGCGGCCCCCUGGACAAAGACUGACGCUCAGGUGCGAAAGCGUGGGGAGCAAACAGGAUUAGAUACCCCUGUAGUCCCUGUCUCUUAUAA
rnacentral:rRNA from 1 species